CCUACGGGUGGCAGCAGUGGGGAAUAUUGGACAAUGGGGGCAACCCUGAUCCAGCCAUGCCGCGUGUGUGAAGAAGGCCCUCGGGUUGUAAAGCACUUUCAGUGAGGAAGAACGCCUGGUGGUUAAUACCCAUCAGGAAAGACAUCACUCACAGAAGAAGCACCGGCUAACUCCGUGCCAGCAGCCGCGGUAAUACGGAGGGUGCGAGCGUUAAUCGGAAUUACUGGGCGUAAAGCGCGCGUAGGUGGCUUGAUAAGCCGGUUGUGAAAGCCCCGGGCUCAACCUGGGAACGGCAUCCGGAACUGUCAAGCUAGAGUGCAGGAGAGGAAGGUAGAAUUCCCGGUGUAGCGGUGAAAUGCGUAGAGAUCGGGAGGAAUACCAGUGGCGAAGGCGGCCUUCUGGACUGACACUGACACUGAGGUGCGAAAGCGUGGGUAGCAAACAGGAUUAGAUACCAUUGUAGUC
rnacentral:rRNA from 1 species